UGCUAGAAGAGAACGCAGUGGGCUCAUGGGCCAGAGCAGCCAGCUGCAGAGAGGGAGGGCAGAGAGGUUGCCUUCCUCACAGCAUCCUGCCUGCGGGGCCAGGAACAAUGCUAUUCACGUGAGUGGGAGUCCAAGCUCCUACAUGGCUCAUGUGCUCCAAACCAAUGCUCUGAGCUCUUCAAUUUGGAAAAUGGCAUACAGCCCAGAAUAAAAAUGAAGACAGAUUUGAUGACAUUUGGGCUCUUGAUCCCAAGAUGUUAUGAUCACACUGUAGAAGGAAGGAAAAUUCCUUCUGGCUGGCAGUGUAAUGCUUGGAAAUGGCGCUGUGCUCCCUUUUCUUACUCAACACAGGAAAUUGUGUAUGUAACAAUUGAUGCAACUUACUGUAAAUGAAACAAGUGACUGUGUACAUGUGCAGUGGUUAUGUGGGAGGGAAGGAUGAAGGAAAAUACAAAAGCUGUCUUUGACUUAGUUAAUAAAAUGCUACUGCUGGUUUGG